rnacentral:rRNA from 1 species
UUUAUGGAGAGUUUGAUCCUGGCUCAGAGUGAACGCUGGCGGCGUGCCUAAUACAUGCAAGUCGAACGGACAAAUAAGAGCUUGCUCUUAUUUGUUAGUGGCGCACGGGUGAGUAAUAUAUAGUUAAUCUGCCCUUUGCUGGAGGACAACAGUUAGAAAUGACUGCUAAUACUCCAUACUCCUUUUUGACAUAAGUUAAAUCGGGAAAGUUUUUUCGGCAAAGGAUGAGACUAUAUCGUAUCAGCUAGUUGGUAAGGUAAUGGCUUACCAAGGCUAUGACGCGUAACUGGUCUGAGAGGAUGAUCAGUCACACUGGAACUGAGACACGGUCCAGACUCCUACGGGAGGCAGCAGUAAGGAAUAUUGCGCAAUGGGCGAAAGCCUGACGCAGCAACGCCGCGUGGAGGAUGACACUUUUCGGAGCGUAAACUCCUUUUAUCAGGAAAGAAUAAUGACGGUACCUGAUGAAUAAGCACCGGCUAACUCCGUGCCAGCAGCCGCGGUAAUACGGGGGGUGCAAGCGUUACUCGGAAUCACUGGGCGUAAAGGACGCGUAGGCGGAUUAUCAAGUCUUUUGUGAAAUCUAACAGCUUAACUGUUAAACUGCUUAGGAAACUGAUAAUCUAGAGUAGGGGAGAGGUAGAUGGAAUUCUUGGUGUAGGGGUAAAAUCCGUAGAGAUCAAGAGGAAUACCUAUUGCGAAAGCGAUCUGCUGGAACCUAACUGACGCUGAGGCGUGAAAGCGUGGGUAGCAAACAGGAUUAGAUACCCUGGUAGUCCACGCCCUAAACGAUGUAUACUAGUUGUUGCUAAGCUAGUCUUGGCAGUAAUGCACCUAACGGAUUAAGUAUACCGCCUGGGGAGUACGGUCGCAAGAUUAAAACUCAAAGGAAUAGACGGGGACCCGCACAAGCGGUGGAGCAUGUGGUNNAGACAGGUGCUGCACGGCUGUCGUCAGCUCGUGUCGUGAGAUGUUGGGUUAAGUCCCGCAACGAGCGCAACCCACGUGUUUAGUUGCUAACAGUUAGGCUGAGCACUCUAAACAGACUGCCUUCGUAAGGAGGAGGAAGGUGUGGACGACGUCAAGUCAUCAUGGCCCUUAUGUCCGGGGCGACACACGUGCUACAAUGGCAUAUACAAUGAGAAGCAAUAUCGCGAGAUGGAGCAAAUCUAUAAAAUAUGUCUCAGUUCGGAUUGGAGUCUGCAACUCGACUCCAUGAAGCCGGAAUCGCUAGUAAUCGUAGAUCAGCCAUGCUACGGUGAAUACGUUCCCGGGUCUUGUACUCACCGCCCGUCACACCAUGGGAGUUGAUUUCACUCUAAGCGAGGAAGCUAAACUAGCUACUCUCCACAGUGGAAUCAGCGACUGGGGUGAAGUCGUAACAAGGUAACCGUAGGAGAACCUGCGGUUGGAUCACCUCCUUUCUA